GUCCACACCGUAAACGAUGAUUACUAGGUGUUGGAGGAUUGACCCCUUCAGUGCCGCAGUUAACACAAUAAGUAAUCCACCUGGGGAGUACGACCGCAAGGUUGAAACUCAAAGGAAUUGACGGGGGCCCGCACAAGCAGUGGAGUAUGUGGUUUAAUUCGACGCAACGCGAAGAACCUUACCAAGUCUUGACAUCCCUUGACGAACAUAGAAAUAUGUUUUCUCUUCGGAGCAAGGAGACAGGUGGUGCAUGGUUGUCGU
rnacentral:rRNA from 1 species